GGGUAGCUCGGUGCCGACAGGCGGGGUAAUACAGGAGGUGCUAGCGUGAAUCGGGUUUGCUGGGCGGAAGGCGUGCUUAGGCGGUUCAUUAAUGCGGGUGUGAAAUCCCUGGGCUUAACCGGGGAACUGCAGUCGAUACUGGUGAACUAGAGUGCGGUAGAGGGUGGCGGAACUCCGGGUGGAGCGGUGAAAUGCGUAGAUAUCCGGAAGAACACCGAUGGCGAAGGCAACCACCUGGGCCUGCACUGACGCUGAGGUACGAAAGCGUGGGGAGCAAACAGGAUUAGAUACCCCGGUAUC
rnacentral:rRNA from 1 species